CCUAGGGAGGAAAACAAGCUCGAUUUGGACAACCUCGGUAGCUGCUGCGGGAACACAAGCCUGCUCGGGAUAAUGGGUUGGGUGCCGGCCACUCUGCGGUGAGCACACAGGUCACACAUGCAAGGAGUUCACAGGUCUCAGCUCUCUUGUUAACACGGGAGGGGGAAUGAAUCCCCCCAGCAUUGCUCAGCUGGGGUAUCGCGGAGCUGACUUCUGCCACAGCAACGCUCCAGCACUGCUUUUAAAGACAGAGGCUAAUCCCUGGCUUUCCAGGAACUGAGCGGGCACCCCUGAGAGCUGUGCAUCCUCCGGUCAGCCCUGACCUGCCCGCCACGCAUCUACCUGUGUGCACAACGCGUCCCAAACCCCGCAGCCUGCACCGCGCAUGCACACCCCGAGGAAAGCAAAGCAUCGCCGCUCAGACCUGCCUGCCCAAGGAAAGGCUAAACCGCUUCCAGCGCUACCUGCCUGCGCGCUCACACGCAACGACACCGCAGCCAGAUGCGGACCUAAAAAUUGAAGAGAGGAAGAGGAGCAAGAGCAAAAAGAAGAAGAAGAAGAGGAGGAAGAAGAGGAAAGUGUAUUGGUGUGAGCACGGAGGAAUGGUUUAGCAGGAUUUCACUCAAGGGGACAAGGCACACAAAAAAAUCAUGAUUCAUUUUCAGCCGAGCGGAGCUUCGUGUUUCUAUAAGCUAUGAAGCAAUAUUGGAAGAACGAGGGAAGACUGGGAGAAGGAAAUGAACCCAGAGGUUUGGAGGGCUCUGAUGGAACAGGAUUAAGAUGUUGGUGCAAUAAAUAACACCUUUAUUUUUGCACAUGAAUUUUCAUGCUUGGCCAUGCCCUGGGACUGGGAGAUGAAACGCAGAGCAGAACAACAAAUGUUUGAUCAUUUUGACGGGGCAGGUGAGUGGCAAGUGACAACCAAGCUGUGAACCUGCUUGGCAUCGUUGCAGAGGAGCCGCAGGGACACGUGCUCUCCCGGGAUAUCUUGUAGAAUAAAGCAGCACAUGCAAGAUAGCGAGACAGGAGCUCAUGUGUGCGGGCAGGGAGGAUCCGGGCCGGUGCUGGUGGUGGCUGCUCCCGUGUCCCGCGGGCUUUGCUUUCAGCCUUUGCCAGGCUGUCGUGCGGGGGGUGACGCAUGUUAAGCAGCUCAGCCACCAGCUGAUAUCCCUGACGCGAUAUUGUCCUUAUUGUGCUGCACAAAGCGAUUUCCAGCCCGGGCUGGGGAUAUUUCUUGUUUUGGUUGGGGUGGAGGGGAGAACCCAGCCAGUUAAUCCCCUCCGGCCAUACUCUUCCCCGUGGGGUUUAAGCGAAGCGACGUGGCAGCCGCACCAGGCUUGUCAGCUCUCUGCUCUUUCUCCUUGCACGCUCUGUAAUUUUAGGUAAAAUGAAGCCAGUCAAAGCCGGAAUGAAAAAUAGACUCCACGUGGCUUUCCCAGCCUAGCAGCAGACUUUCAUUUGAGAAAUGCUGCUGUUCCCAAUGCGGAGCCCGACACCGUCGCACCGACUUUGCACCACUGCCUGAAACAAUGAGAAGCUGAAUUGGAAAUGACCUCCUGAUUAUCGGUGGCAUCUCUCACUGUGUUUAUUUAUGGGCUGCAAUAAUAUUAGUAUAAUAUUAUUGUUGUCCUUUUGUGCAAACUGUGCUUUAUUUAUGGCAGCGAGGCAGGAAACACAGUCUGCAUAACUGAGGUUUGGAUGGAACGAAACAUAUGUGAGGAAUUUCUUAAUUUGAUUUCAGACACGCGCGACGUUUGCUGCCCGCUCUCCUUAUCUGCCCAUCUAUUUGUCUUUCUCCAUAUGGACACAUCCAUUUAUCUAUUGCUCUGCUACUUCUGAGGCUCCUGCCUCUCUGGCAUCCAAUUUUUCUAUUUAUUUUAUUUUAUCUUAGUGUAUUUCUGGAGGAGGCAGAAGAGCCGGUGAGAACACGGAUGGGCAGCACAUGAAGCUGGGAAGAUGUGGGGAAGAAAGAAACGCCUCCGGGGCAAAAAGAAGGGGAAAAAAGCAGAGCAAAAGGCUCAUGCAAUGUUUAAAAUAACAUGGCACAGACCCAUCUGUGGAUGCAGCUGCUUGUAAUGCCAAUCGAUACGGGAGCGAUUCCCUUCCUGAACUGGUGACCGAUAAUCAAUGGGCUGAGCCCCGGCUCUCCUCUCUCCCCGCUCCUCCGACCCGGCCUUAUUAAUUAAAACCCAGCCCCCUGUGCUCCUGAGAGCCCCUCCCUCCUUGCAAAGCAAUAUAUUGCCCAUGGUACAGCCCGUUCAUCACCUAUAGCCACCGCAAUCUACACAUUGUAUAAGCAGGAGAGGCUCUAGCAGCUAAUUAAGCAUUCAGUCCUCCUUUUGCCUGGAAGAUGCUAUGCAAAAACCAAAGCCUAUUGAAUGUUCAAGCAGAAUUCUUAUUAAUUUUAUGUGGGAGAUAGAUAGGAGUAUAAUUGCCUGGAAACCUGGUUUAAAGAAUGGAAACAGAAUGUCUCUUCUUUCUUACUUAAUUUGUAUUGAUUUUUAUAUUUUAUUUUUAUUUUGGGGAGCUGAAAAUGUGGAGUGUGAUUUUUCGAUGCUUUAAAAUGUGUAUUAUGUCCCCACUUAAGGAGCUGCUGGGAAGUGGGUUAGGCUAGUGAAAAAUGCGCUGCUCUGAAUACAAGCAAAAUAGUACCAAUAAUAAUAAUAAUAAUAAUAAUAAUAAUAAUAAUAAUAAUAAUAAUAAUAAUAAUAAUAAUAAUAAUAAUGGUGAUUGAUGAUGAUGAUGAUGAUGAUGAUGAUGAUGAUGAUGCAAAUGUCAGGGCGGUCACUAAAAAUGUACUUUUCCUGCCUUCAGCAUUGGGAAUCACCUUUCCCAGCCCUUUCUGAGCGUGUCGCGCACAAGCUCAUUGCAUGGCAGUGCCGAGCCCUCUCCCCCGGGGAGAACCAACCAUAAAUCUCCCAAAACCAACACUUUCCUCGCUGGGAAAUGAAAAAGUCAUUAAAUGCACAGCACGGAACAGGAGGAGGGAAAGGGAUGGGGAUGCAGGAGCCAGCUCAGCAUCUCCGCAGAUGCCGCUCGCACUCCGGUCCCAUCCCGGCAUCACACAAACGCUCUCGCCAACCCCACGUUAUCCAUGCGGGAAGAUUGGCGGUGACCUUUAAAUGUCACUUCCAAAUGCCAGCCCCAGCUAAGUGGCUACAAAACGCAGUGUUUGUGCUCGAUUACGGGGAGCAAUGGGCCUGAGCUGCUCACCUGCUGACAGGGACGCUGGAAAAAGCCAAGGGCCCCCGGGUGGCCUAUGAGCAUCUUCUCCACCCAUCAGUAGAGAGAUGUAACUGGGCAAAUCACACCAGGAAUAAAGAUAAUCCAAAUAUUGUAUUGCAUUAAUACUGUAUAUUAAAUGCAUUGUGGUGUUUUUUUCCAUGUCUCAAAUUAGACCCGACCAAUUACUGGGGGAAAGAAAUGAAAUAAUUCAAGACUUUUUUGUCAGUUGAUUUGAAGUUUGGGUGAACAAGCUGUUUCCGCACAGUUUCCAUCUGAUCCCCAUUGAAUCCUGUGUCCCCCCCCCCGCUGCAGUGCAGCCUGGGCUGGCUGGCCAGGCCAAAAUAAACCUGAAACAUGGGGCUUUGAUGAUGGAAUAAAAUGAAAUCACCGGAGUUACCGCCACAAUCGCUGUCGCGCUGCAGCCAUCAGCAGCACCAGAGUGAGAUCGCUAUCCAGGCGAAAGCGAGAGGCUCUGGCUACACAAAUUGUAUUUCCCUAGGCAGUGGAUUAAUUAAAACUAUCAAGUGUUCUCAGCUUUUUGAAAUUAACUUUGAAAGUGUUUGGAUAAAAAAGAAAAGUGGGAAAUAAGAAAAAAAAAUAAAAGCCUGAACAAUUUUUGCUGUUUCUUUUCUUCUCCCUUGAGUGCAGGGAAAGAGGAGGAAAAGGCAGAUUUUCCCCCAGACCGUUUGCAGUGCAGAAAGUCCCGCAUGGCCCAUGGGAACCGAGCCUUAAUUGUGAUGCUAAACCCAGUUAUUACGGACCUUGGGCCAAACAUUAAAUUUCUGUUUGGGGGGGUGCUUGGCUUUCUUGACAUGGGAGAUGCGGCCCCUUCUCCAUCCCAGCGCCAGCGCUCGGUGCUCAGGAGUGAUGGAAUUCCCGGGGGGAAAACCACUGGGACGCAGCAAACGACACCUGAUACAAACAAGAGGAGAUGGGGAGAAUAAAGAGGGAAUAAAACCCCACCCGACAGCCAGUGUACAAGACAUUAGGGACCAUCACGAAGAAUCACGCUCAGUGCGGGAUGAAGAGGCUGCACUGAAUAUAGCGGCGCUGGCUGCCGGCGGGGACGGCUGCGUGAUGGAGAGAGCAAUCGGGAGGACGCUGCCGCGUUCCCGCAGGACCGAGGUUGAUUUCUCAGCAGGUUCAGCUGUGUGGUAGGUAAAUUAUGCUCAGCCAUCCUUCCUUGGGUCUUAUUUCAUGGCCCAGCGAUGAUUAUGCUACUGAUCUUCCAAAGGGGGUUGUUCUGGGCUGGAGAAGCCUAAUAAAUAAGGAUGUGGAAACCUUCCAGAAGAGACAAUAGCUAAACACACCAUAUAGGCAGCCUGUCUGAUGACAUAUGGGGUAAAAUACAGCCAAAGAGCCCUGAAAUGGGAACAUUUCACUGCGCACCAGCUCCUCGGUGUUGGCGGGAAGAGCAGGGGAUGCCAACCCAGCCGGGCACAACAAUGCGCUUGAUAAAGCAAGAACCAGCCCCAUAAGGUUUAAAGGCCUCUAUUUUCCCCAAAUCUCACCAUUUCCAUCAUUUUGGGACAGGGCAGCCCCUGCCACCCCCUGCACCCAUGUCCCUGUGCCCCUUGCAGAGCUGCCUGUGCUCCCUGCCCAAACCAUCACACGCCCGCUGAAACUUCCCAUGUUUUGACAUGCACCGUUCCACCACCUUCAAUAAAACGUGCUGGGAGCAGACUUGGGAUCCCAAAGGGUCCUGGAUCAAACCUCAUUACUCUUCAAAUGGCUUCUAAUCAUCCCUCCCACUCUGUUCCCCGCAGCAUCCGUCGUUCCGGCAGCUGAGAAGGGGAAACAAAUGCAGAACAAAUCAUUAGGAAACAACAAACCCCCGAUCUGCCCGACCCAAGGAGACACAAAAGCAGCUCAGGGGUUGUGAGGACGCUUGGCCUGCCUUCUGCAUCGCAGCGGGGCUCUUGGCAGGUCUUGGCUGCCCAGAGAGAGGUUUCCUCUUCCCCUCGCUGCCUCCGCACCUUAUCUCCAGGCUCAGACGAGCUGCUUUGGCUGCAAAGGCUGAGGAGUCGUUAAUCCCGGCUCAUCCAGGGGUGGUGGGAGCGGAGACAGCAGCUCAGGGGGUUUAUCUUGACUUCUCCCCCUCCUCAGCCCCCGCCAUCCCCCUCCCAGCCUUCCCCUUCGUGCCAUCCAUGUGCCAUCGGAUUUUGGGGAACACCAGCACCCUCCGUCUGAAGCCCCAGAAAAAGCGCCUGGUGUCACUCAGCUUGCAAAAGCUGCUCUCCCAGUUCUCCCAGCAGAGACUGCCCAGGUCCCAAGUGUCAUUCUGUCCUCCAGCUCGGCGACCGCAGUCCCCAUGGUCCCUUAGCGAGCCCCAGCACAGACCAGAGACUGGCCACAAAUGUCUCCUGUUCCCAAGUGCUCCGCUUCCAUUAGUUGUGAAAAAAAUGAAAUAAAAAUUAAAAAAAUCAAUCAGAUGCUUUUUAUUUGCUAUUUUUUCCCCCUGCUGCAGCCAGUCUUCG